rnacentral:rRNA from 1 species
UACGUAGGGUGCGAGCGUUGUCCGGAAUUAUUGGGCGUAAAGGGCUCGUAGGCGGAUCCGCCAGUUUGACGUGAAAUCUCCACCGCUCACCGGGGAGGGGCCGUUGAAUACUACGGAUCUGGAGUUCGGCAGAGGACCAUGGAAUUCCUGGUGUAGCGGUGAAAUGCGCAGAUAUCAGGAAGAACACCCGUGGCGAAGGCGGCUCUCUGGGACGGUACUGACGCUGAGACGCGAAAGCGUGGGGAGCGAACAGG